UCAAAAGCUCCAUCACAGAUGAUGCCAGACUCCUGAACCAACACAAAAUCAUGAAAUAAAUAAACUUUGGCAUGCAUUGUUCAAACCUGAGAAAUCCAUCUAUUUGCUGGCUAGCUUUGGUUUUUGAAUAGCACGGAUACUGCUUAACCGUUGUUGCUCGUGCCACCUGAGAUGCUGUGCGAACAACAUAAAUAAAAAACCUUGAAAUAUAAGAAAUGUUCACUGCUUAAAUGAUCAAAACAGUGAACUUGCACAUAUAACAUGAUAAUUUUGAAUGGACCUUUUAGGGACCAAAACAACACCGAGAACACCAUAUUUAUCAUGCUUGCCAUGCUUUUGUUUAGUUAAUUCAUAGUUGAAAUUGUCAAUCAAAGUGGCCAUUAGUUACCUUAGAAGCUUGGCAGCAUCUUCUGGACCAGGAUUUGCAGCGUCUAUUUUCCUCUUUCCAUCAACAGAACCUGGAGGUUUCCACCAUUCUUUGCAGGAAAGAUUGUCUUUCCCAUAGACUAAAUGCUCCGUGCUUUGCAAUCAGUGAAAUUGUAGACACUUAUAUUCAAUACUUUAUAUUGUUUUUCAGUCCAUUUUGGUUGUUUAAGUAUAUAUAACUUCAUGGCAUCCAAUUUUACUUUAACAUGCAAUGCACACAAAACAAAAUAUCAUGUAUGGCAUUACAAAUAUUUCUUUCUCUCAUGCAGGAAAAAACUUGGGCCAUAACCUAAAAUCAUGGAUACUAAGGAAAAAAUAAGAAAGAGAGAAAGAGAGCGGUAUCAACGAAUGACGAAUGAAGAAAAACAGGAGAAACUCAAAAAACG
rnacentral:lncRNA from 1 species